GUUAGUGAUGAAAGUUGAAAAGAAUCUAGCAUUAUGCAUUAUGGAAAACGAAAACUCUCCUUUAAGCCCCGUAGGAAUUCACCCCGCAAAACUCGUACGAUCGCAGCAUUUUUCACCCGGUAAAAAGUCCGAGGUUAGAACUCGGACUUUUUACCACGGAUAUUUCUCCUCUUUCGCCUCUUCCCCUCUCGGUCUCUCGUUCCUCUCCUCUCGCAGGGCCUCUUCUCUAUCGCUCGCUUCAUCCUGUUUUCUCUCGUAUUUCCCUUCCGUCGCCUCUUCCCCUCUCCUCUCUCGGUCUCUCGUUCAUGUCCGCUCUCAGAGCCUCUUCUCUCUCGCUCUCUCCAGCCUAUCUCGUUUUCUCCUCUUCCCCUCUCCUCUCUCGGUCUCUCAUUCCUCUGCUCUCUUGCUCUCUUGUUCUGUCGUUCCACUCCUCUGUUGCUCUAUCUUCCUUCAGACGCACGACCUCAAGCACCAUCUUCAACAGGAAAUUUCUGUUCUUCCCUCGUCGCUGCUCCUUUACUAAGGUAUGAUACGACUGUGGCGCAUGCUGUUUUAACAGUUUUUCCAGUGUUGAUGUUUCAUUUCCUAAUAACUGGUGUAGUUUUGGCUACAAUUUGUUGGUAUGUGUUUAACAAGCACAUAAACAGCUAGGGAAAGGAAAUAUUAGUUGGUCAUAGUAAAAAUGAUGAACAUAUUUGUAACUUAGGAAAUAUUAGUUGGUCAUAGUAAAAAUGAUGAACAUAUUUGUAACUUCACAUGUUAUGAUUUCUUAUGUUAAAGCAGCAUAACAUGGGAGGGCUAGUGUCCACAUGUCUUAUGUGAAAGCAUCUUAUGUGAAAGCAUCAUCACAUGUCUUGCUCAUUCAUUUUCAUAUUGGACAUAUGAAUUACGAUUGCCAUAUGCUUAUCCUCUA